UAGGGAAUAUUGCAAAAUGGGCGAAAGCCCGAUGCAGCAACGCCGCGUGGGCGAUGAAGGCCUUCGGGUCGUAAAGCCCUUUUUGAGGGGAUGAGGAAGGACAGUACCCUCAGAAUAAGCCUCGGCUAACUACGUGCCAGCAGCCGCGGUAAAACGUAGGAGGCGAGCGUUAUCCGGAUUUACUGGGCGUAAAGCGCGUGCAGGCGGAUUGGAGAGUUGGAUGUGAAAGCUCCCGGCUUAACUGGGAGAGGUCGUUCAAUACUUCCAGUCUUGAGUGCAGUAGAGGGAAGUGGAAUUCCGGGUGUAGUGGUGAAAUGCGUAGAUAUCCGGAGGAACACCUGUGGCGAAAGCGGCUUCCUGGACUGUAACUGACGCUCAGACGCGAAAGCUAGGGUAGCAAACG
rnacentral:rRNA from 1 species